rnacentral:rRNA from 1 species
GCGGCAUGCCUUACACAUGCAAGUCGAACGCGAAUUUGUCUUCGGACAUUAGUAGAGUGGCAAACGGGUGAGUAACGCGUGGGAAUAUACCUUAUAGUACGGAAUAGCCUCGGGAAACUGGGAUUAAUACCGUAUACGCCCUUCGGGGGAAAGAUUUAUCGCUAUAAGAUUAGCCCGCGUCAGAUUAGCUAGUUGGUGGGGUAACGGCCUACCAAGGCAACGAUCUGUAACUGGUCUGAGAGGACGAUCAGCCACAUUGGGACUGAGACACGGCCCAAACUCCUACGGGAGGCAGCAGUGGGGAAUAUUGGACAAUGGACGCAAGUCUGAUCCAGCAAUGCCGCGUGAAUGAUGAAGGCCUUAGGGUUGUAAAGUUCUUUAAGUAGGGAAGAUAAUGACGGUACCUACAGAAUAAGCACCGGCUAACUUCGUGCCAGCAGCCGCCGUAA